rnacentral:rRNA from 1 species
UACAGAGGGUGCACGCGUUAAUCGGAAUUACUGGGCGUACAGCGCACGUCGGCGGUUUUUUAAGUCAGAUGUGAAAGCACCGGGCUCAACCUGGGAAUUGCAUUUGAAACUGGGAAACUAGAGUGUGUGAGAGGGGGGUAGAAUUCCAAGUGUAGCGGUGAAAUGCGUAGAGAUUUGGAGGAAUACCAGUGGCGAAGGCGGCCCCCUGGCACAACACUGACGCUCAGGUGCGAAAGCGUGGGGAGCAAACAGG